rnacentral:rRNA from 1 species
AUGGCUCUUCUGAUGGCUGAGGUGACUUGGUUACGAUGGUUACUGGAGGAUUUUGGUGUUUCUGUUACUACACCUACCACCCUCCUAUCAGACAUCACAGGUGCUAUUAGUAUUGCGCGGGACCCUAUGAAGCAUGAGCUUACCAAACACAUUGGUGUUGAUGCUUCUUAUGUGCGUGCUGCUGUGCAGGAUCAUGUUGUUGCUCUUCAGUAUGUGCCUUCUGAGUUACAGCUUGCGGACUUCUUCACGAAGGCUCAGACUAGAGCGCAACAUGGGUUUCACCUCUCCAAACUCAGUGUUGUGGAUCAACCAUGA